CCGGCUCUGGUUCACAGGCAUGCCUGACCCAGCGGCC
rnacentral:ncRNA from 1 species